AAAGGGUGUUAACACGUUUAUAACGGAAAGUGCAACGGAAAAUGUCGAGAUUAAGGAGGUAGUAUUGUACAUCACCCUACUAUCCUUAGUAUUAAAUCAAUGCUACUCAAUGGAGGGUUCUAAUCAUAAUUAUACGUACAUUGGAUGCUUUGAAGAUCGCGUUGAAAGAUUAUUGCCUGCUGGACCUUACACAACAACAAAAAAUGAAAUGUCCACCAACAUCUGCUUUAACCACUACAAUUCUAAAAGCUAUAAAUAUUUUGCAACAGAGUUCGGAACCGAAUGCUGUUGUGGUCAUUUGGGAAAAGUCGGUUCUGGCCAGUAUCCAAGAAAAAAAGAAACAGACUGCAACAAAACAUGCAAAGUUCAUGUAACAACAAAAUGUGCUGGCACAUGGAGAGCGUCAGUUAAAUAGAUAUGGUAAUCAGUUAUCGACGACAAAACAUACACCAACAAGUCCGAAACAAAGUCAAUCUGUUAUAGCUGAAUUUUCAAUAUACACGGUGGUUAUCGAGCCUGUCUUGGUCUUAUUAUUCGUGGCUGCUUUAGUUGUCUCCCUUGUCGUUUGCUUCAGAAGAAAGAGAGGCAAGGAUCAUAAUAUAACAGAAAAAAACUGAUUUACCCAGUUAUACCACAGUAAAUUACAAUGAAAUGAAAGAUAUCGUUGUCCCUGAGAUGAAUGAGAGCAGACAUAGAUAUAACGCAGCUCAAUGUGAACCAAACAACAUUUCCGCUUCCAUUCAACAGGAAGAAAACAACUGCAACAAUUAUGAAUCAUUAUCAAACAACCGCAAGUCAGUUGAACAUAUUUAUCAAUCGGAAUCUGUUCACAACAAUCAGUUAUCAUUGGAUGAACAUACAUAUAAAUCAACAGAAGAGGCAAUGCAAGCAUCGAUGGGUCCAAACUUAGUGCAAUAUCAAUCACUAACUUACUCUCUUGAAUCAGAUAACCACGUUUAUUCAUCAACAGUUCUAUAUAGUAACGUGCUAUAAGUUAAUAACUAAAUUUAAAAUUUAAUACUGAAAUUGUUAUACAUAAUUUAAUCUAUUUAUUCAACCUAUUUCUGAGGUUAAAAGGGUAAAGGUACAUCGUUUCCUCUCUGAAUUUUCGAAUUUGAUUGAUCAAUGUUCAACUUGCAUUUCUUCAUACAGAUAAAAUCAGGAUGAUUUAUUUAAGUAAAUCAUAGAUUGUGCUACACCAAAACGCUUAGACGAAUUUACAAUUUAACAAAUAUAUAGCACAUGAAUUAACAGUCAGUACACAGUGAGGUAAAUCACUCUAGACCCAUAUUUUUUUUUCUCCGAUUAAUCUUUCUCCGUCCUCUUGCUUGGUGUAUGGUUAAUAAAGAGUCCAUCUCAACAAACAGAGGCAGUCAUAUCGAGGCUGAUAUGUCUUUGUCAGGAGAAACCGUUCUAUCAUAUCUAUGGACUAAAACAAUGUAAAACAGCGUUUAUACUGCUCUAUAUUUAGAUGUUUUAAGUUUGGUUGACAAAUGGAAGCUAUGUCAAUUUCUACGAUCCCCUUGAGUUUAAGUAAAUUAAAGUAUAAAGAGAUUCCAAUGGAUAUUCUAUUAAGCAAGACUUCGUUGACCUAAAAAGUAAGAUAACAAAAAUACCGAACUCCUAGGAAAAUUCUUAAUUGAAAGUCCCUUAACGAAUGGCAAAAUCAAAUGUUUAAACACAUCAAACGAAUGGAAAACAACUGUCAUAUGCCUGACUUACAGGCAUUUCCUUAUGUAGAAAAUGAUGGAUUAAACUUGGUUUAUAGCUAGCUAAACCUCCCACUUGUACGUUUAGCUAUAGGUGGACAAUUAUUAUUUCAUUUCGUAGAGCGGUUUGGAAUGUUUACAAAAUUGUGUUUCGUUUGGCCUGUUUGAACCUAUAUUGAUUAUAUACUUCAACCCCAAAGCAAAACAAUUGUUUAUUUUGUAAUAACCAUUGUAAACACAUUCAAUUUGGUAGACAUAAUUUUGUAUACAUCAUACAUUUUACAAUACACCACAAUAAAAAUAAUCUGGUGAAAUAGACACCAUAGAGAUGUAUACACAUGUCAAAUCAAUAUAGAAUUAAUUGCAAACAAAGAGUAAACCUGUACAUUAAAAAAACCUGUUUGUUUUUACAGAUAUUUGUAAUUGUAGCUCUAUUUCGUUGAGUAAAAUACGUUUGAUCUGUUCCCAAAAGUGUUAAACAAAGUCUUGUAGCUUCGAAAAAGCUGUACAUUAAGAAAUAUUCUAAAUUGCUUUACAUAAUAUAUAUAGAAAUGUGCUUGCCAAAUUACGUUCCAAUUUAAAUAGCUAGCUUGUGAUUGCUUGUUUCUUAAUUUACAAAAAGUAAUUGCAUCUGUGUCGAAUAAAAUGUCUAAAUAAUUUUCAUUCUGAAUUUGGUGUUUAAUAAAUUGGUAAAGAAGACCCUUAUGUAAUGUUUCAGUGUUUGAAAACCAUUUCGGAAGAAAUUAAUCGACAAUAGAAUUGGGGUUUUGGUUAACGACUUACAAUUCUAAUUGGUUUGUGUCCACCAUAAGUGUUCAUGUCCACAUGUUUUAAUCGAUUUUCGUUCCAAUGUAGACACUCUGAAAUAAAAGAAAAAUAUAAUGUUUCAAAUAUA